CCUACGGGAGGCAGCAGUGGGGAAUAUUGCACAAUGGGGGAAACCCUGAUGCAGCGACGCCGCGUGAAGGAAGAAGGCUUUCGGGUUGUAAACUUCUUUUGACAGGGAAGAGCAGAAGACGGUACCUGUCGAAUAAGCCACGGCUAACUACGUGCCAGCAGCCGCGGUAAUACGUAGGUGGCAAGCGUUGUCCGGAGUUACUGGGUGUAAAGGGCGUGUAGCCGGGCUGACAAGUCAGAUGUGAAAUCCGAGGGCUCAACCCCCGAGCUGCCUUUGAUACUGUUGGUCUUGAGUAUCGGAGAGGCAGGCGGAAUUCCUGGUGUAGCGGUGAAAUGCGUAGAUAUUAGGAGGAACACCAGUGGCGAAGGCGGCCUGCUGGACGACAACUGACGGUGAGGCGCGAAAGCGUGGGGAGCAAACAGGAUUAGAUACCCCUGUAGUC
rnacentral:rRNA from 1 species